rnacentral:rRNA from 1 species
GGAAUAUUGGACAAUGGGCGCAAGCCUGAUCCAGCAACGCCGCGUGGAGGAUGAAGGUCUUCGGAUUGUAAACUCCUGUCAGGCGGGACGAAGGGCUCCGACCUAAUACGUCGGCAUCUUGACGGUACCGCCAGAGGAAGCCCCGGCUAACUCCGUGCCAGCAGCCGCGGUAAUACGGAGGGGGCAAGCGUUAUUCGGAAGUAUUGGGCGUAAAGGGCGCGUAGGCGGCCAUGUAAGUCAAAGGUGAAAGCCCUCGGCUCAACCGGGGAACUGCCUUUGAUACUGCAUGGCUCGAGGCCGGGAGAGGGUGGUGGAAUUCCCAGUGUAGCGGUGAAAUGCGUAGAUACUGGGAGGAACACCCGUGGCGAAGGCGGCCACCUGGACCGGAUCUGACGCUGAGGCGCGAAAGCGUGGGGAGCAAAC